rnacentral:lncRNA from 1 species
ACCAGCUGAUGCAAUUGAUAGAUUUUCCAAAUUAAGGCAGGUAGGAUACAAACCUUUAUAACACUUUCGUUUCUUUUGUACCCUACAUGGUAAAAAAAAUACAUUGACAGAUACUUGGACGCCAAGCUUGACAAAAAAGAAUGCAGACAAAAAGAAUACAGGGCAAUGAAGAAAGAAGAGUGAAAACAGGACCGUCGCCACGGUCAGGAAACAUAAACCCUGGCACGGAUUUUACAAUUUGUACCAUAUACAGGAAUACAAACCUUUGGCAGCCCAAAUUGCUUAAAAAGAACUAGGCUAAGUAAUGUACUAAGGCAGCGACUAAACUGACCAAAUUUGGAUUCUCCAAAUCUAUAGGUUCCUAGCAACUUGUCGCUAUAAUUGUCCAUUAAGUCAUCAUGGUUAGGUUUUGCUCUUGAACUUACGCUGUGCUUUCAGGUCAACUACAACGACAGUGAUGUUGUCUUUGCUCCCCUUCUGAAGAGCAAGCUU